UCACUUUGCGUUUUAUUGUCAAGGCGCGCAAAUAUUGUCAAAAGACUUUGAAGUGGAAAGAACUCUCCGUUUGGUCCCCCGACCCAGGGACCAGUCGGGCCACAUUUGCAUCUCGCUGCAACGGAAGCGCCACAGAUAUGAAAAAAAGAUGCCGACAAUGGGACAGGCAUCAGGCAUCGAGCACAGUGGAAAACUUGUCGCUGUCUGCGAGCUGCGAGUGUCCCCUGUCUGUCUGUCCGUCCGUCCGUCUCUCAGUUCGCUCUGUUCCCUCGAGUCGAAUGCAGUCCUGUUUUUGUUUGCGCCGGCGCUUCAAGUGUCCCUGUUGGCAUGCGGGCAGGACCUGGACUCGAGACGACAUCGACGACGACGACGACACUCAAGUGCCAGGCAAUCAACAACAAAUUAUGAGUGCUACAAUUUGCCCAGCUAGAUACGGUAAUGGAUCGUCGACUUAUCGCCACGUUCACAGCCAAAGCGAUGCGCACUCACCUCGUAUUCGGCUUGGCUGGCAUUGAACUUUCGCCGGGGCAAUCGUAGAGAAUAGCAGACAAUGUCGACACUCUACUGACCCACUUGGGCAGGUCUAGAGAGCAGGCCGCGCAAAAUCAUAAGUAAAAA